CGGGAGGGCAGCAGCGACCAUGUGACCCGCGCACACACCCUCCCCCGCCCGCGGCCGGCCGCUGCGGCGACUCCGCCCUCCCGCCCGCCCCGCCCGCCGCCAGCACCCGCGGCCACCGCGCCUCCGGGUUUCCCGCCCGGCCGGGGUGCCCAACCCUGCACCCCCCCUCCCGCCCCCCGAGGACUCCGCAGGUCACCACCGAUGGUUACCUUGCAACCUCCACCUCACCUGGUGACUCCGCGGGUCACCCCCGAUGGUGACCUAGACCCUCCUCCCCCCCCCGCCCCCCGCACCGGGUGACUCCCUGGGUCACCUCCCAUGGCGACCUGGGACCCUUCCCCCACCUAGUGACACCUCAGGUCACCUCCCAUGGCGACCUAGCACUCCCCCCACACCUAGUGAGUCCGCGGGUCACCCCCGAUGGUUACCUAGCACACCCUCCCCCGCCACCCGGUGACUCCGCGGGUCACCUCCCACGGGGACCUAGGACCCCCCCCCCCACCUAGUGACUCCGCAGGUCACCCCCGAUGAUGACCUAGACCCCCUCCCCCCCGCACCUGGUGACUCCGCGGGUCACUUCCGAUGGUCACCUAGGACCGCGGGGUGGCGCGGAGCAGACCCGCUUUUCAGGAUCCAGGCUGGGCAGACUGCUGACCGCCCCGGGGGUCGGCGCUCCCACAGACAGCUCUGCCGGAAUCUUCUUCCUCUGCACCGCUCGGUGACUUCAUCCAGUCCAAGAGCUCAGACAUCUGUGUUCUGAAUGAGCUUCAGGCGCUUGCGUCCAGUAGCCCGUUUGAUUAUGCCACCUUGAUGUCCUUUGGCAGCUCAAGUUUCAGGUGUAAACAGGUGCCUUUUUCUUCCCUUCAAAAGGACGAAACUGGAAAAACAUGACCCGUGUGCUGAGCAUGGAUAUUACUCUGCAUCAAACCACCGUCAUCUCUUGCCUGCUGCUGCUGCUAAGUCGCUUCAGUCUCUGACUCUGUGCAACCCCAUAGACGGCAGCCCACCAGGCUCCCCCGUCCCUGGGAUUCUCCAGGCAAGAACACUGGAGUGGGUUGCCAUUUCCUUCUCCAAUGCAGGAAGGUGAAAAGUGAAAGUGAAGUCGCUCAGUUGUGUCCAUCCCUCAGCGACCCCAUGGACUGCAGCCCGCCAGGCUCCUCCAUCCAUGGGAUUUUCCAGGCAAGAGUAAUGACUGGGGUGCCAUUGUCUUCUCUGCAUCUCUUGCCUGGGCUACUGUAAUAGUUCCCUAACAGAGAAACGACUCCUGUAUCCACCUACAACCACUUCUCCACAAUUGGAGUGUUAUUUUUUAAUGUGAGAUGUAAAAUUAAGCUGACCCAAAGAGUGCAGAAGGCAGAAAUCACAAAGAGGACAUCACAGCGGUCCCCUCAGUGUCCUCAGGGCAUCAGUUCCAGGACCUCUGUUGUUUUUGUUUCCCUAAGUCAUGUCUGACUCUCUGUGACCUCAUGGACUGUAGCCCACCAGGCUCCUCUGUCCCUGGGAUUCUCCAGAUGGAUUCUUCACCUCUAGUGGGAACCCUAAUAUAAGCUGUGGACUUCGGAUGUGUCGAUAUAGCCUCCCAUCCCGAAAAGGUCGCCUCCAUCCUGUGCGGCUUGCUGGUUAACUGUCAGAGCCUGCGAAGCUAUAGAUGGCCCUGGUCGGUCACGGCCACACCACUGGCCCCUGGAGUCGUGUGGGGCUCCUCAGAGCCAGAGGAGGAGCGGAGCGGUGCCCUGGGGGACGGUCCCCAGAGUUCCAGAGCUGCCACGGAGACCACCUUUUGCUGCUGUCUUCUAAGGAGCCUCCGUUUUUAACCCUAUGGAGCCUGUGACUAAGUCCACAGGAAUUCCCAGACUAUUCAGAGUGGGUUUCUACCUACUCCUCCUUUCUCUUUCCUCUGACAAAAAUAAUCACUUUCUUGAACAAAGUGACUGUGUCUUCAAAUGUCAUCUGUUAAAAGAGGCAGAUUUCCUGAGAAAAUCACCUUAUCAACCCUUAUAUUCCACUGACACUGAGGGCCUGGGAAGCUG
ensembl:lncRNA